UACGCGGGGGGCAAGCGUUGUUCGGAAUUAUUGGGCGUAAAGGGUGCGUAGGCGGUGCGGUAAGUCUGUUGUGAAAUCUCCGGGCUCAACUCGGAGUCUGCAUCAGAAACUGCCGUGCUGGAGUGUGGGAGAGGUGAGUGGAAUUCCCGGUGUAGCGGUGAAAUGCGUAGAGAUCGGGAGGAACACCUGCGGCGAAAGCGGCUCACUGGACCAUAACUGACGCUGAUGCACGAAAGCUAGGGGAGCAAACAGG
rnacentral:rRNA from 1 species